GAUGAAGAACGUAGCGAAAUGCGAAAAGUAAUGCGAAUUGCAGAAUUCAGCGAGUCAUCGAGUCUUUGAACGCACAUUGCGCCCGCCGGCAUUCCGGCGGGCAUGCCUGUCCGAGCGUCUUUUCCAAACCUCGGGCGCGACCCUCUUGUCCCUGAUCCGGCUGGCCAGCGGGUUGGGGGCGGGAGUGGACCGCCCGGUUUUGGGCACCUUUCGCGCCUCGCGCGGGAAGGCCCUGAAUCAAUCACCGGGAAAAGGCGACUUGGUGGUGUCGGUCACGCCGGAGCGCGCUGCCCGUCCCACCAGCCGGUUUUCCGCUGACCGGACGGGGGGCUCCUCGCCCCGUCCGAGUUCCUCUCGGUUCGACCUCGGAUCAGGUAGGGUUACCCGCUGAACUUAAGCAUAUCAAUAAGCGGAGGA
rnacentral:misc_RNA from 1 species